rnacentral:lncRNA from 1 species
CGAAUUCUUUGUUAUUGGCUUUAAUUGCUCCUAAGUCCCAACACUCUGAUUUGCUCCAAUAUAUAAACACAAACCUGCAGACAAUCUAAAUCUAUCAAAAACCAGGCACGUUCAAGAAGAAAUAAACAUGCUACUGCAGUCUGCUCACCCACUGUCUCAUGGCUUCCUUUUCAUCCUCUUGUUCUCUUCCAUUAUUUCUACAAAUAUUCAUGCAUGCAACCAAACUGAAUGCAGAACCCCCACGCCCUUCUCCCCCAAUACGUCUUCUCAUCCUAUAAAUUGGACUUCCCUUAGUUCUUUCCAUUUAGUGGGCAUCCCUUAUCGUCACCAAGGUCGGGCCCUCAAUGGAGGAGACGCACAAGGGGAUGGCACUAAAGGCGGUAAUUUUCCCCCACUUAAGAUACAUAUUUCACCCACAAUUUAUACUUUAGAUCAAUGGAAUUUGAUUGCUUGGGUCCAAAAGUUUUGGAAGUGAACAUUACAUGGUGUUAUAACUAAACACAAUUGCUCAUAUCUUAAUUUUUUAUAGGGUUAAAUACUUUUUGGUUAUUGGAUUUUAUACGAAAAUUCAAUUUGGUCACUAAGAAAAAUAUUUAGCCAAAUUUGUCAUUGUGUUUCCCAAAGUUUACAAACCCUAAACCCUUACAAUUGUAAACUUUAUGAAACACAGUGACCAAUUUAGCUUACCAAAUUGAAUUUUCUUGUAAAAUCCAGUUACCAAAAAAAAAAAUUUUCUUUUCUUUUUUUAUAAUCAAUCGCGUGGUUUUAUACUAAUCCAUUGUCUGGUUUUGUUACUUUGAGCAGGGAUCAUUGCAAAGCCUUAGAUUUCAUGGAUGCAAGCUUUUUCAUUGUGGAUCUCCGUUUUGGUGGCGCUCCACAAUAUAUCACGUUACUCGGUUUCAAGAGUUUAUUCGAAUUGUAUCUUCAUAUAUUUUAGAAUGCUCCAUCAAUCUUUUCACAAGUUCAUCUUUCUCAUUCUACGUAGCCUUUACUGCAACACCUUGCCUUCUCAGCGACACCUUCACUCUACCUAUCUGCAGGAAAACGCG